rnacentral:tRNA from 1 species
GGUUCCAUGGUGUAAUGGUAAGCACCCUGGACUCUGAAUCCAGCAACCAGAGUUCCAGUCUCAGCGUGGACCU